rnacentral:rRNA from 1 species
UACACUCCUGCGGGAGGCAGCAGUGGGGAAUAUUGCACAAUGGGCGCAAGCCUGAUGCAGCCAUGCCGCGUGUAUGAAGAAGGCCUUCGGGUUGUAAAGUACUUUCAGCGGGGAGGAAGGCGAUAAGGUUAAUAACCUUGUCGAUUGACGUUACCCGCAGAAGAAGCACCGGCUAACUCCGUGCCAGCAGCCGCGGUAAUACGGAGGGUGCAAGCGUUAAUCGGAAUUACUGGGCGUAAAGCGCACGCAGGCGGUCUGUCAAGUCGGAUGUGAAAUCCCCGGGCUCAACCUGGGAACUGCAUUCGAAACUGGCAGGCUAGAGUCUUGUAGAGGGGGGUAGAAUUCCAGGUGUAGCGGUGAAAUGCGUAGAGAUCUGGAGGAAUACCGGUGGCGAAGGCGGCCCCCUGGACAAAGACUGACGCUCAGGUGCGAAAGCGUGGGGAGCAAACAGGAUUAGAUACCCGUGUAGUCCC